rnacentral:rRNA from 1 species
GACGAACGCUGGCGGCGUGCUUAACACAUGCAAGUCGAGCGGAGACAUUGCACAUGAAGUUUUCGGAUGGAUUGAGUAAUGUUUUAGCAGCGGACGGGUGAGUAACGCGUGAGCAACCUUUCCUCUACUGGGGAAUAACACAGGGAAACUUGUACUAAUACCGCAUGAGACCACGGCGGGGCAUCCCGCAGGGGUCAAAGAUUUAUUGGUAGAGGGUGGGCUCGCGUCCGAUUAGGUAGUUGGUGAGGUAACGGCCCACCAAGCCGACGAUCGGUAGCCGACCUGAGAGGGUGAUCGGCCACAUUGGGACUGAGACACGGCCCAA